CCAACGAGUCUGAGUGAAUGAAAAGAUGAGGCAAUAUAGCAACAAAACGCGGCUUAGAGAGAUUAUUCCCUAUCCAUCCCUAAUAGCUUUCAGUCGCAUAGAGAUGAGAUGAACAUGAAGAUCAACUGUGUUUUCGAAUUCAUUGCGACGAAGCCUCUAUUUUUCCGUUAGCAUUCCCAGCGGGACACUUGUUGAAUUUCUCCUGCUCGGCGAAUCUGUCCAUUUGUUGUGACUCCCAGUAGAAAUGUUUACUUUUGAGUGCAAAGACAAUCGUUCGUGAUCUUGACGGGGCCGAAAGAAUAAAAGUAUACAGAGGCAAAUUAGACACCAUAGCUUGGUGAAGAGGGCAAAGAAACUUAAGACAGCAAAGGAACAAUUGUAAUAGUACAAUUCGCCUUUGUUGUCUUUUUUUUUUGGUUUGCGUAAAGUAAUUUUAUGAUUUCCGGAGCAAUUUCGUUUGCCUCUCAAUCCCUCUUUUUAAUUGCCUCUUCAACGAAUCCGGAGAAUAUUUCUUAAUAGGUAAUAUUUUCUUCCGGAUCGGAUCGUUUAAUCGCUCGCUUCUGCAGAAACACCUUUCACCCUGAAAUUGCAGUGCAUCUUUUGUCGCCCGCCAUUCUAUCAGAAUGUUUAAAUUCGUUGACAUCCAAUCCGAAUCCAACUGCCAUUGCUGAACCUUCUUACCAAACAUACGGAGAGGAGAAGCAAAUGAUUUCGCUGAUUUUAGAUGAAGUGGAUUGAUUUUUUUUUUCUACAUCCUCCCAUACUUCCUUUCCCCCUGUGAAGUAGACAAAAGCGAGACAGAGCGCUACAAUAGUACCGUAUAGAAGCUUUAAUGGAAAUGAACAAAAGGCGAAACCAAGGCGAAAUCCGAUAGAAACCUUCUUUUUUGGAUUUGUCAAUUAUUUUAUUACUUUAGUUUUUUCUUUAGGGGAGUUUUUCUUAUUUGAUUUUUUGGGUUUUGCUAUUUAUUUGUGUUUUUACUGGCGUGAGAAUGAAAUACAUCGUUGAUUUCAAUUCGUUUACUCGUCAUAUCAACUCAAAUAAAGUACAUUUUGAUUGACCGAAUUGUAUUUUUUUUUACUUUUUAAUUCAUCUUUCUUUCCAUCGUCUAUCUCUUGUUCAAAGUCGGGAAAAUCUCUUGUUUGUGAGAAAAAAAAAGAAUUUCCGACUUCUGUCUUAAUCCAUCCUUUCUUCGUACUUCCUAACGCACAACAAGGAUUAUGCUUCAACUCUAACAUUGCUAUCAUGUCAAAUUUCCCUCUUUAUAGUUUUUCCGCGAUAACGUCCGACCCUUCGUUCACUUUACCAUCGCCUUGUUUUUUUUUCCUCUUUUCUAGUAGAACAGUACUGCUCAGUUCAUUUCAUACCAUUUAGUUAGUUACUACAUCUCACGAGACUAAAUUACUUUCUUCUUUCUUGCCAAAUCAUCAUUUUUCUUAAUGCAACCUCUCGGUUACUAGGAGGAUAAGGAUGUCAAAGGUUAGUAGGUAAUUUAAUUACAUGUGUAUGUAUCAUUUUAUU